UACGUAGGGUGCGAGCGUUAAUCGGAAUUACUGGGCGUAAAGCGUGCGCAGGCGGUUUCACAAGCUCGAUGUGAAAGCCCCGGGCUUAACCUGGGAAUGGCAUUGAGGACUGUGGAGCUCGAGUGCGGCAGAGGGAGGUGGAAUUCCGACGUGUAGCAGUGAAAUGCGUAGAGAUGUGGAGGAACACCGAUGGCGAAGGCAGCCCCCUGGGCCAACUGACUGACGCCUCGAUGCACGAAAGCGUGGGG
rnacentral:rRNA from 1 species